rnacentral:misc_RNA from 1 species
CCAAUCUUUAGCGGGCCUUGGGCUUGUCCAUGGUCUCGCGAAACUCUGUAUUUAAAACCCACUCAUGUAAUUGAAUCAUUUUAUAUUAUCAUAUAAAUAAAGA